AUACGAAGGGUGCAAGCGUUAAUCGGAAUUACUGGGCGUAAAGCGCGCGUAGGCGGUUUGUUAAGUCAGAUGUGAAAGCCCCAGGCUCAACCUGGGAACUGCAUUUGAAACUGGCAGGCUAGAGUGUGGUAGAGGGAAGUGGAAUUUCAGGUGUAGCGGUGAAAUGCGUAGAUAUCUGAAGGAACAUCAGUGGCGAAGGCGACUUCCUGGACCAACACUGACGCUGAGGUGCGAAAGCGUGGGUAGCAAACAGGAUUAGAAACCCGAGUAGUCC
rnacentral:rRNA from 1 species